ACAGCACCUGCCGAGUUGCCCCCACUCUCUACUAUCUCGACAGCACCUGCCGAGUGCUCCCCACUUUCUACUAUCCAGACAGCACCUGCCGAGUGCCCCCCACUUUCUACUAUCCAGACAGCACCUGCCGAGUGUCCCCCACUUUCUGCUAUCCCGACAGCACCUCCUGGGAAAUUCACCCUCAGCUGUGGUCUGUGUCCCAGCCCGGGCCCUGGGUUUGGUGUGGGGCUCUAGGUGAGGCUGGGAAGCAGGAGUGUCCCAGGCAGAGGGGCCAGACAUGGGGGAGAGAAAGAGCGGACACCCGGUGGGCAGCACAGAUCCCAAACCCACUCCACUCCCCUGGAGGCUCUGGCCUGUGCACCCAUCUUCGUCUCAUCUUCACCCUGCAAGGAUGGGAGGCUGAGACUCCCUGGGGCAACCCGGGAGAGAGGGUUCCAGGACCAAGGGGAGCUCUGGAGAGGACAGAAAAGCCGC
rnacentral:lncRNA from 1 species